CUGGCGAUUUUUUUGUUGGAGAAUGUUAGAGGAAGCUCUUCAUCAGUAUCAUCAGCCUCACUUCUGUCUAUCCAGCUAUGAUGUCUACUCGAGUCCUUUGGAGUAUUGUCUACAUCGGUGGGAGAGUUUGGCUCGUCUGGUAACUCGCGGUACAAGUGUUUAAUUAUGAAAAGAGCAGUAUCGUUAUCUCUCCAAUAGUUUCUACACAAUAUGUAACACCCCUUUUGAGUUCUUGGCUCUACACGUAAAUGUAAUGUUUUAUUAAUGAUAAGUUAUAACUUACGUAUGAGCUCCUAUGGCUUGUAGAUACGGAUGCUCAAAAGUUUUAUCCUGCAUCGCCCAAAGAGACUAGCAUGCUUUAGCCAAAUCCAAUACAAGAGAAUAUAAAAGGCUGUUAAUUAGGUGAAGAUGCAAUAAUGGUUUAACCUGUAGCAUGUGAUCUAUUCGACCAUCUCGAGUUCCGGUCAACCUUUCCAUCAUUAAGGAACCAUAGGACCUUCCAUCCUUUUCGUCAUCGGUUUCUUCCGACUCUGUUCAAGUAGACAUUAGAAAGUAGACAGAUUCAUCGACUGUGCAGAUGCGGCCACUAAAAAACUUGCAAAGGAAAUCGAACUUUUACCUUCUAGUCUAUCCGAGCUUUUGGACUGGCAAAUAGUGAGAACUCUAGUCUGCAUUGAAUUAAAUAUGAGUCUUGUGUACGUUGAAUCACAACAGAUAACAACUUAAAAUCAUAAUUCAAGACGAAGAAAACUAGUUAGAAGUCUGAGAACACACACCCGUACAGAAUCAAAAUGAUUCAUUACUCUAUGUGAACGCGCUGCAAAAUCCUCUUUGAAAUCCUACAAAUAUUACAUAAGCAAACGAAUUAGCAAGAGGAAAAUAAUAAACAAAAACUGAACCACAAUAUUUUAAUUACCUGUAAUCCAAUAUGCAACCGCUUGCCACCUCUGUGAUAAGGAACUAUGACGGGUCGUUUGGGAAGGUACUCUUUGCACACAAGUGGCUCCACCCUGCGUGCACAAAACACAGUUUUGUGUUUCACACUUGCAAAAGAACGUAACAUAGAGAGAGAGAGAGAGACAUCAUAAAAUAACUAGAGAGACAGAGAUAUCAUAAACUAACCUAUAUGCAACAGGAUCAUAGGGGUGAAAAAUGUUGAACAUUCGACGACAAGCUGGCAUCUCUUCAAUUACAUUCUCCUCUUCCCAGUAAUCCUUUCCCUUACCUAAACAUGUUGAAACAGCUUUUACACCACGAAAAGGAAGGCGUAGACAAGCAAUUCAAUAUCAAAGCAAAGGCAUUACCUAUCCCAAUACGUAUAUUUCGAAGGGCUAGAAACACUCCGAGAGGAGACCCAACUGCAAAGAAAGUGUCAACCUGAACAGAAUAGGCAGAUGAAAGUUAGGAUGGCAUUUGCUUUCGGUGUGGUUUCGACUGAAAUAUUAUAGACACGUAAAUGAUACGAUCCCACACCUUGAAUUCGAGCUUUUGGUACUUGAUAUAAGGAGUAAAGCUUGUAGGUCCAUUGGCGUCGUUAGUUAGUGCCUUCUCAUUGAUCUGCUGCUCAGGCAUCACAGAUGCCUUGGCUUUUUCUGUUAAUAACACCAUUUCAUACAUGAGGUGAGUUUUCAAACACAACUCCAAAGUGUGGACAACAUAGAAAUCGAGAGUCAGAAUUAAUACCAUCCGCCAAUAUUCUGGCAUUUUCUGAUUGCAGUUGCGCUACCUUUGACCUCAAUGAUUUAAUCUGGGAUAACAAAUUUCAACGUUAGUGAAAAAAAAAUAACUCUUUUGUUUUGGUUAAUCAGUAAAGAAACUGGCAACACUUCCACAAAGAACACAAACCUAAGGAAGUAUGAGAUGCAACUGAAACUACAUAAUAUCAUCAAACAACUGAAGCCUAGAACUUGGAAGUGCCAACAUUUACCUCUUCCUGUAAUAACUUGAUUGCAGCCUCGUUAUUAGAAUCGCCACAUUUUAUCUCCCAAGAUUGUUCUGGAGAAGAGGAAGACGAACCAGGUGAUCUACAAUCAGCUCCAUCCUGUGAGGAAAUAGCACCACUAGAAUCAUGACGGUCAUCUUCCUCGCUGCCUCUUCUCUCCAAGCCCACGUUAUCCACAGCAGAAUCAGAGACCGAUGAAGAAGCCUCUUGGACGACAUGGUGAUGCUCCAAUACCGUUGAUUCUUUAUCCAUCAUGUCAUUAUCUUGACCUGUGGUUUCCUCCUUGUUAUUCAAAAGGUUAGAUUUCUCUGGCUCAAGAUUCGAUGAUUGAUGCGAGCUACAAGGUUUGUCAGCUCUUUCUGGAAUUGGAGGAGAUUCUUCAUCUGGAAAAAAUCUCUUGUAUACUGCAUCCAUCGGAAACGGGGAUGACAAAUUGCGCUGAUGACAUAGGAUGUCAUAAGAGAGAACGCUCCCCAGAGAAUGUCCAUAAAUGGAUAUCUGUAUGAUGUUCAUGAACAGAACAUGACUUCUUAAUUUAAUGCGAGUUUACAAUAGUCACAGGUUGAUGAAUGAAAAGACUAAACCAGAUGGGCACCUUUCCAUCAUAGUCCGGAUUCCGCUUUAUAAAUUUGAGAUACAGUCUAUUCAGCUGGUUUGAAACCUGGAAGAUGUAAAGGAGCACACAUUACAACAAUGCAGAAGAUGAAAGUAACAACAACGUCUAUUUUAAUAUUAAAUCAACUUGGCACUACUGAAACAAAAAAAGUAUCAAAGUUGAGAGAUUGCACUACCGAAUCAAUUAUAGCCUGACAAUAAAUGGGGCUCAUGUAGUAUAACACAUCAUGAACAGUUGCGCUCAGCAUCUCUCGCAAACGCCGUACACCUUCUAGUGUACAUUUAUCAACAGCAGCUUCACCACUUAGCUUUAGACCUUUUCUCCACUACAAAAACAAUUGAGAGAGAACGAAUUUGUGAAGUUAAAUCAUACUAUACAAAUAUAAACCAGAAAAGUGUGUUUACAUAUAUAUAUACCUGGCAUGGGAUGAAAAGGACUCUUUGAGUUCCACGCUGGUGAGAGGUCAGAUGACGUUCACCUAAAGCUGCUGUGAUUUGACGGAAGUUUCCAACGUCGUCAACAAGAUUAGACUUCUCAACUUUUUGACCGAUACCAUGAACCAUAAACACAAGAUGUCGAACAGGGACCUGGACACAAUAACACAGAAUAGAGUUGUUUCAGGGAGCUGGAAAAUAUUGAGACAUUCUGAAGAUAAUUUUACAAUAGAAUUCAGAUGCUCUAUACUAAGACAUACUUGAGAACAAUAGUCAUCCAUUUCUUCCUCUUUCUGUUGGCGUAGUUCUUCCUGAACAAAAGCACAAGAAAUAUGAUUCAGUUGCACAGUAAACGCUCAGCCAACUUUCAAAAUUUCUGAUGAGAUCUUAGAAAACAGAUGUGAGACUUAGUUCCAAAACAUUUUUUAAGAACCUGUGUAGGUUUAGGAGAGUAGGAGCCAGCAUAACCACGUCUCAGCUUAAUUCCAUUUCCAGUAUAGCCAACAAUGCCAGAGAAUCCAGAGGGAUCAACAUUAAGCCAAGCUUCCCAAGUAUCAUCCUCCCCGGUAAAUAGAGCAUGAAGUCCCUGCAUUAACAACUUAAUCUAAGCAAUCAUUCAGCUGAAAAGAUAAGUACAUUUUUUUUACUCAUGGAUUCAAACACAUACCAAACUGGAACCCUGCAAAUCAACUCGAGCUGCAAAAAGACCAGAGGGUUGGAACCUUCUUCUGCGCCAGACCUGCGUGAACGGAAUCCAAAUAAAUUGGUGCUAUUAUCUUGUCAUCAACAACUUCCAGGAAUUCCAACAAAAAGAAAAAUCACCAAUUGUUUCUAUUAGCCAACAUUUCUGACCUUGUUACGAUAUGCAACCUCCAACUGUUCAGCAACAGUUUCAGGAAUUGGAAGCCAGUCUAGUCCACCUUUACGAGCAAACCAGUGGCCUCUAAGCACACGCCUAUUAUCCCCAUUCCAGUACACGGGAAAACAAUGCCUCCUCACCAAGUCCACCUGCAGCAUUCCGGUUCCUUGGUCAGAAAAAAAUGGAUUGAAACAUAAGGACUCUAAUGGUUCCGUUCAACUAUGAAAAAUCUACAUGAAAAUUACCAAAACCUAGUUAAGUCUCUCCAAAGAGAACAGUAGUACCUCGUAUAGCCCACCCUUAACGGGUACACCAACUCUCUCCUCUUCAACAUCAUAUAGACUGGAUGAUACAGAAGCUUCUUGAAGGGUUUCCAUUGACUGCUUAUUGGAUUUCUUUUUAGAAUUAACUUGUGGUAUAGGGCCUAUGCUGCAUUCUGCAUACUCUUUCCACCAGAAUGACAGCAACUCAUCCUCUCUCUAUUUCCCAGGAGGAGAAAAGAGCAAUCGUUUCAUUCAAAUUUUGAACCAAAGAGCCACCAGAAUUCAACAACUUAGAAGAAGAAGAAGAACCUGGAGGAAAGAAGCCUCAAUGGCAAGAGAAUCCCUCAUCCCAAAACGGAAGUACUCACUCUUUCCUACUACGUCAGUGCGAGGUACUGAAGCAGCUAACUCUGCACAAAACAAAAUAGAGAAAAAAGCAUCAAUCUCUUAUUCUCAGUGAUCAACUAUGCCCACCAUUACAUAGACAUUGGAAGCUAUAAGAAGCCAACAAAGACUGACCGUUCUCAGCUAAAGGAACCUUACAGAAGUACCAGCGAACAUCACUGCCAUCUGAAGGGCUUCUGGUCUGAGUGAGAUACUUUUGUCUGCCAUGGCAUUGCUCAAUCACAUCUUCUAAUCCGGCGAUGUUGGAAGGCGUGUUCUUCAACAAAUCCGGAGAGGUUGUAUUAACCGCCGGACUACUUCUUUCUGCAUCUUCCAUCUGAUCAAAACCACAGAAACCUUAAAUCAGUAAGUUUGGUGUAUCAACAAGGCAAGUCUGAUCUCGAAUCAAAUUCGAGUUCCGGUAACCAAAACCCCCUACAUAUAGAAUCUAGAAUCUGAUCAUACCCAGAACAAAAAAAAAGCUUCAAGGAAUCACGAGAAGAGGUGGCGAAAGAUUUCGACAGAAGAGGAAGAAGAAAGAAAACAAAACAAAGGUCGUGGUGACAGCUGGGAAACCGAUUUGAAGGUUUGGUUUUGCUGAAAGAAUAUUCGUGAGAGACCCAAACUUUUGUUUAAGCGGUUGCGUGUACUGUCAUCUCUCAACUACUGCCACGUAGAUGCCACGUCAGCGCUCCGCAGCCGAACCAAAUUUUGGAUAUUGUUAUUUUUCAAGUUAGAAUAAUCUACCGAAAUUGAAAAUUAGCAAAAAGACGAGACGACCAAAAUUGCGCAGUUAAGAUGUUCUAACCAGGGCCGGACUUCAACAAUGCUACAGUGAAACAUUUGUAAAAAGUUUCUAAAAUUUUUGAAAAAAAUUAUAUAGACAUAAAUCUCCAAAAACUAAUUUUUAAGUUUCUAAACGGGUAAAAAAAAAUUUUUACAUAAAAUAUUGUUAUAGAUCUCCAAAAUCUCAGAACCGGCUCUAGUUUUAGCCAUGGAUUCCGAUUCAGCCCAUAAAUAUGAAGCUUACUGUUGAACAACUGUGGCCUAUCGAAUUCUUUUUAUUUGUAAUCAUGUUACUCUUGCGAAUUGAACUUGUAACUAACGACCGGACAAAACCAACAACAAACCAUACAUCAAAGCCAUAUCCCGUUGUCGAACAUUUCUUAAGAAUCAUAAUUCAUAAAUACUAAAGUCCUCACUGGAUUACUGCCACUGAAAACCUAUCCAGAUCAAUGUUCGACCCAUAAUUAAGCAACCAAUAUAUCGUAGACUUGUUCUGAACAUGAAAAAAGAGGAUUCUAACCAAGGAAGGUGAAGCACAGGUCGCUUUCUCACUAAUCUAUAAAGGCCGCAGCAAUUACUCAUUGUUGGUUAAAUAAUAGUAUGUACCAACUUCAUGUAGAAGUCGAGUCUAAUUUCUUUAAAUGGUUUUGUUUUACAGAAACCAUGGAUUACGUCAACUGAUGCUUAAACAUUAAUGAAAGACAAGCCACACACCAAAUCUUAACCACUUCAAUUCACGGAAUGUUUUUUGUUUUGUUUUGUAAAUGAGACGAUAAAAAGUUGGUUGAUCUACCCACGUGCCGUGAUAUAUGAGGAUUAGUCUACGAUGCAAGUUUCCUUAGUUAUCAGUUCUUGUUUUGAGUUACGUUCAAUCUGAUCAUAUUACGUUUUCACACUUCAUGACUUCAAAGUAAAUACAUGCAAAAACAUUUACAAUUUAAUACACCACAUUGUUAAAAUAAAACUGAUAAUAUAAGAAAUUAAAUACUCAAGCCCCACUCAAACACACAAUUAUAAAGAAAACUCCACUUUAAAAUAAGCUGUUUCCUAUUUUAACCAUAGUAGAUGUCACAGAGUCACAAUCACCAAGAACUAAUAUUUUAAAAUAAUACAAUGUAUGGUUUAAAUUUUUUUAAAAAUUUGUCUCUAAUUCAACAUUUUUCUAAGUUAGAUUUUUCCCUUUUUUUUUCUUUUUUUUUUCUUUUUCUGUAGAUUUUUUUAUUUUUUUUCUAAUUACCGCAAAAAAAAAUAAACAAUCUACUCUAUUAAAACAACAGUGUGACCCAUUGAUAUAUGUUCAGUCCAACAAUUAUUUCAUCUACCUUUACUUUUUUAUAUGAUAACUGCAUUGCCCUUUUAAUUAACCACCACAAGAUAUCGUGUAAGUUGUUUUAAUUUUCAAAAGUAACCACUACAUGUUCACGGCUACUCCUAAAAAUCAGGAUAUAUUAUAACUGCAUCAGUAGAUCUUAAUUAAUUAAAAGUUAAACAUCAUUUAUAUUAAUAUGCAAAUAUGUAGGAACCUCUAUUUAUAUGUAAUUCCGUUUUUACAGGUUCUUUUCUACUAAUCAGGACCAUUUAAAAUCUAAUUUAAAUAACUUUACCACCAUUUAAAUUGCCUACA
rnacentral:lncRNA from 1 species